GCGGGGGCCAGCCAUUGUAAUACCUUUCUCAAUAGAAGGAUUGAACACAAACCUAUCCCAUCAGUGUUUUUUUAAGCUAUAGAAAUGCGAAAACAAGCCAGCCUUCUUUGUUCAUGCAUUUAUUCCUAUGCUGAUAGAUAAAUUGAAUGACUGCAAGGCUUGAUUACACAGCCGCGGUGAGGGCGAUUUGAUGCGUAGAAUCGGUGUGUGCGGCGGCUGUCUCAUUUCUUGUAGCUAGAUUGCCUAAUGGGAGAAGCAGAGCACUUGAGAAUGAGGCUGACGAUGUGACGGAUGAGAGAAGGAAGAGUCUUGCCGAGUGUUGCUGAGGGAAUCAUACAGAGCAAUUUAACUUUGUGUUUGUCACUGCCAAUACUUCUUGCUGCAUAACAUUUAAAAAGCCUUUUAACUCCUUUGAGGACUUGUUUGAAGAAACAACAAGAAACCUUGCAUUGAGUUUGAGUCCAGCCUGGGAAUCGCAGUGGUGUAAGUUCAAGAACUUCCCUGUUUGAUUUAUUCUCCUAGUCUCUCGGAUUGAUGGAAACCGGUGUCUAUUGAAUCCUAUAUCAAGACACAUGGAAUGUUCUUGUCUAUUGUUGAUCUAUUGUUUCAUAUGUGAUCAUCAUACAUAUUUUUGUAUACAUUUGAAAUUUGCUAUCUGGUUAUGUACAUCCAUGCAUCUUAUGAUGUUCAAUAGGCAUAUUUUCUCUUUUAAUGUUUCUUUAUUUCUUAAGAUUUUUAAACGUUUUUUUAUUAUUUCUAGUACACUACAAUUUAUGCAAAUAUAAAUCAUUAAACUAUUAAAGCUAAGUCAAAAGCUAUAAAACACAAAGAUAAAGUGAAAAUGAAUUGAAAAUCUUCUAUGACAAUAUUAGGGUCUUUGGUAAACACACCUAAAAGCAUGCUUGUCUGAUGACAAUAAAAUGUACAUGUAUACAAAAUGUACAGAUUGAAUAAUUAUUACCUUUGUUGGAAAUGAAGUAUUGCAUGAUUCACCAUGCCAUAGAUUACAUUCUAGAUGCAACAUUGGAAGGUAUUACAGAUUACAGCUUGAAAAAAAAGGUGCAAGUUUUUGUUGACCUACAUUCACCCCCAUCCCUUCUCUGUGUAUCUUGUUUACCAUUGCUGUGUUGGAAAUCUGAAAGUAUAAAUUCAUUUUUGGUUCACAUCCAAGCAAUAUGAGCUUGACAUACUAAAAGCUUUCCAUUCAGGGCCGGAAAUGAGAAUCCAGAAUGGUCGGGAUCAAAUAUUAUUUUAUUGAAAUAUAAGUCCUGCAUGAUGAAUGAGAAUCUCAUAUGGUAAAAUUGGGGGGCAAUUGGUCAUUUGAUGAAUAGUUCAAAAUUGAUUUCAGGGCUUCUUCCCAGUUACAACAGUCAGAUGAAUUCUAGAUCUUGUCCAGUGAAACAAUAUUUUACACAUUGACUACAAGUACAUGUAUGCAAAGUGGAGUUUUUUUUAUUUUAAAAAGAUCUUAAAACCCUUUUGUGAAAUUACCAAAGUUGGGAAGAAUUUAAGAAAUAAUGUAGGUCUAAAUGUAUAUUUCAUAUUCAUGAUGAGACUUUGAAAGAGGCAUAUAAUGUAGGCUAUUAUAUGUGUCACAAAAAUAAGUGAGUAUAUACAUUGUACUGUAGGUACAGUGAUUUUGCAUUUUAAUUUUUAUUGAAAAUAUGUUUUGGUUCUUUACUUUUCAUGUGAAAAUUAAUUGAAUUUACCUUUGCAAAAAUGGAAUUCAUGUUCUUGCUGUGUUCAUGUACAUUUUCUAUGAUAAAAUGAAAUUUCCAUUUGGAUCAAGUUUGAAAUUACAGGUUUUCAGAAAUGGAAAUGACAAUUUUGUGAAACAUAAAAAUUCAGUGUUCUUGUGAGUACAUGUAGCAGUCCGAGACAGAUUUUUCCUUUGAUUCAGUUUUUUUUUUUGGGGGGGGUUAAGUUAUUAAAAUGCCUGAACAUGUACAAUGUAUACAGUCUGAUCAGAAUA